UGUUUAUGGCGAGACCAGAUGCCAAGCGUGCCAGAAUCUGCUCGACCGCGCGAAGGCGAGCAGAAUCCCAAGCAUUGAAGAAUUUUCUAAGGCAUGCAAUGGCUCAUCAAGUCUCAAAGCCUGUUUAUGGAGACGACCAGAUGCCAAGCGUGCCAGGAUCUGCUCGACCGCGCGAAGGCGAGCAGAAUCCCAAGCAUUGAAGAAUUUUCUACGUCAUGCAAAGGCUCACAAAGUCUCAAAGCCUUUUUAUGGCGAGACCAGAAGCCAAGCGUGCCAGGAUCUACUCGACCGCACGAAGGCGAGCAGAAUCCCAAGCAUUGAAGAAUUUUCUAAGGCAUGCAAAGGCUCAUCAAGUCUCAAAGCCUGUUUAUGGCGAGACCAGAUGCCAAGCGUGCCAGAAUCUGCUCGACCGCAAGAAGGCGAGCAGAAUCCCAAGCAUUGAAGAAUUUUCUAAGGCAUGCAAAGGCUCAUCAAGUCUCAAAGCCUGUUUAU
rnacentral:lncRNA from 1 species